rnacentral:tRNA from 1 species
AGCCCAUUGCUCAAUGGUAGAGCGUUUGACUCAAAAACCAAAUAUCGUGGGUUCGAAUCCCAGGUGUGCCA